rnacentral:rRNA from 1 species
CCUACGGGGGGCUGCAGUGGGGGAUAUUGCACAAUGGGGGGAACCCUGAUGCAGCGACGCCGCGUGGGUGAAGAAGCGCCUCGGCGCGUAAAGCCCUGUCAGCAGGGAAGAAAAUGACGGUACCUGACGAAGCAGUCCCGGCUAACUACGUGCCAGCAGCCGCGGUAAUACGUAGGGGGCAAGCGUUAUCCGGAUUUACUGGGUGUAAAGGGGGCGCAGACGGCGAUGCAAGCCAGGAGUGAAAGCCCGGGGCCCAACCCCGGGACUGCUCUUGGAACUGCGUGGCUGGAGUGCAGGAGGGGCAGGCGGAAUUCCUGGUGUAGCGGUGAAAUGCGUAGAUAUCAGGAGGAACACCGGUGGCGAAGGCGGCCUGCUGGACUGCAACUGACGUUGAGGCCCGAAAGCGUGGGGAGCAAACAGGAUUAGAUACCCGAGUAGUC